UUCUCUCUGAGAUUCGGAUUAACUAAGGUCUUCAGCUGUGUACCUCUUCCCUCCUGCUCUCUUUCCAGCCCCCUCCCCUUCCCUCUUCUGGGCCUUUUCCUACGGCUUCUAGACUAGCUCUCUGUUGCUUCUUAGAUUUGUCAUGCUUAAGCCACCACUGGACAUCUUCCAAAGCAGUCCCUGAGAAGGAAUGCUGGCAGCUCUGGAGGGAUGUCAUGGGUAUCUCUUCAGGACUCUGAACAAGCAUCAUCAGGACCAGAGCUCCAGCCAUUAGGUGGUGUGAUGAGGGACAGUGUCACAGGGAAAGGGAUCCUAGACAUAUAUGGUGCAUCUCCCCGGGAAGAUCUUGAAAGAAGAGAGGCUCAAGGAAAGAGUGAACUACUCAGGGGCAGAGCCAAAGUCCCAGAGAACGAUGAUAAAAGAACAACGGGAGAUUCAGGUGACGGCACCUCUGUGGGAGGGGUUGCCCGAGUCAAGGACUAUUCCAUAUUCCUGGAGUAGGGAACCUGGCCAUAUGUAUCUGGCUAUAUUUCAGAAUACAAUA